UCAUUUUACUAUCGAUUUUGUGAUUUGGUCUGAAAUUAAAAUUUUCCCGAACUACCUACCAAAGGGAUUUAAUAAAGUAACCCAUGACCUGUUCACGCACCAAGAAAUACGCAUUCAUAGCAAAAAAUACCUGUGUUGAUAUAAGUAUUAUCCGUGUGAAAAAGAUUACCUGUGCAUUUUAUUUUAUUGAAGAUUGAGGCUUCAAUAGGACUAUAAUAAGACCGCUGAUUUGUUUGUGUUUUUUGGUUUAUCACGUUUUAACAUUUCAAAAGUUGAAUUUCAAAUUUAUUAGUUUGAUAGAUUAACAGUUUUUCUGGCUGGAGUUUGAUAUUGAGAUGCAAGAACAGAGGAAUGAUUAGAACUUGGAAUAAUAUAAACAUUAAACACAUGUGUCAAUACCAUUUAGAAUAACCUAUGUUGAUCUUUUGAAGUUCAAUGGAAUUUAACUGAAUGUUUUGGAAAUGAGAAUUGAUGUUUCCUUGUCUUGCACAUUUUAAAGCAUUUUUGGCGAAUCUAGUAUUGCAAGAAGUUUUAAUGUUCUCAAAUUGAAUAUGUGAAAUGGACUAACUGCAGAUUACAACCUAACAGAGCACAACACAUUAUUUUGAUAUUUUGGAAUAUUUUCAAGAUGUCUUGGUUCAAAUUUUGGAAAAAAACGUCGAAGUCAAAAGAAGAGGAAUAUAAAAAGGAAUUUCGUCGAUCCGAAUCACUCCGCUUGGCAGACGCGCAAAGUGAUGCAGAGAAAGAAAAACAAAGAUUAAAACAUACAUUGUCCAUAUCAAGAUCCGGUCGAUUCAAACAAAAGAAACGAGAAAGAGGUGGAAUUCUAGAUAAACCGGAAUUUUAUGGCGCUGAAACAGACACUAGUGAAAUCAAUAGUUCUCAAAAUACACCAAACUCAUCAAACUUUCAAACAGGACAAUCUCCAAAAAAUACGUGCAGAGACAUGCGACAAGUAGCCAAAGUGCCUACGAGAAACGCUCCGCGACCCCAAAUGGUAUAGCGAUAGUUGUCAUGUUUGUCUUUUAAGCAUAUCAGUGCCUUAUAAAACAUUUUUGUGAACAUAAAAAUGUCUGUUGAAGACCAAAGUUGUGUGUGGUUGAGUGUUAGAAUUUCUGUUAUUCAUCUGUGAUUAUUGUUAUAUAAUUAUUUGAGAUAGUGUAAAUACGUCGAGAAUAAGACACCUUAAGUAAAGGCCAAUUUCACCUGAAAACGAAUGCCUUUUUACAAGGCCAAUCUUAUCUGAAAAAGUAUACAGUACUGAAGCUAUGAAUUUCAUUUCUUUGUUAUAGGUUAUGCAUUCUGAUCUGAUCUGGUUAGGAUACUUUAUUUCAAGACCAUGCAUUGCCAUGUCUCGCGUUCAAAUAGUGUUAGUAAGAUUAGUUGAAAUAUCACACUUUAAUAAAAUGUAUUGUAAAGAUUUAAAUAUUACAGGAUACGAAAACUAAUAAGGAAUAGUUCACACAUAGUUUUACAGGAGAAAUUAGUUCACACGUAGUUUUACAGGAGAAAUUGGACCUUAGGGUGCUUUUCAAGUGCAAGAACAAAACGCACCAUACAUUAUUGAAAUGUUCAUAUUCAAAUCAAGUAUUUGCUUUGUCAUUUUAAUUUAAUAUCUUAUAAUAGAAUGUUGUAUGAUGAUCCUGGUUUAAUAUCAAGUCUAUGUACUUUAUAUAGAUUAGUACAUGUAUUGGUAUAAACUUCAUUACACAUGACAAGUGUUACCAGAACAAUUUAGCUUGUGAAACAUAAAAAAAAACAAGUAACUGGCAUCGAAACAAAUCAAAAGACUAAAAAGAACCGAUAAAACCGUCUUUUUUUAAUUUUUUUUUUUUUUUGGGGGGGGGGGGGUUAAUCAGAGACCCGUUGUAAUUAAUAACUGUCCAGCUGUAACAGACAUAGUGUAUAUUUCAGUAAAGAUGAUCGAAAGAGAUGAGUUAAUGUAAAGUAGCAACCAAACAUAAUCAUUACCAGACGGUGAAGUAUUUUUAGUUAACGGUUCGGUGGUUCUCUUAGUUACGUUUUUAUAGGGAAAAGGGGGUCUUGUUUUGAUGUUGUUGUUUUCAUAUUGGAUUUCACUACGUGUGUUAACUUUCCCCAAGUCAAUCGUGAGUGUAAUUAAAUUUUCAUCAGUGAAUACAUUACAAUGACCCCGAGAUCACACAUAAAUCAUAAGAAAUAUUGUAUUCCUCUUCUCUUUCAUUAUAACCAAAAACGACAAUGUCAGUGCAAUCUUCUUGUCUCAUUAUACAUAGUUAAGAGACUGUAUACAAUUAAUAUGUUACAGUAGAUUAACAAUAAAAAGCAAAAUACUAUAAAUUGAUUCCAGGUUUCAAGGUUUCCUUGUUCUUCAGGAGAGAUAACAUUUGUUCCAAUAUACAUUUUGUGCAAACUUUCGAUAUAAGUUUUUUUUCUAAUUAUCAAGAAUAGUUCCUUUUUAGUUUACAUUUAAAUUGCAUAUUGCAUCUAUGUGCUUUAAUUUCAGUGCUUUGAAUAAUAAUAUAGUGCUUAAUUGAUAGAGACAAAUUAUACAUCUAUAUCAAAAUCUAUAUGUUAAUGACUUGCUGUAAACGGAAAUAUGAAGUAACCAUAUUUAACUGUCUCAUAUUUGAUAAUAUUAUGACUCGUACAUGCAACAUGCAUAAUUCAUUUUGAUUUGUCUUAAUUUGAUGUUUUGUAUGAUUCAUUAUCUAUAUUGAAGAAGUAUGCUUCCAUGUUUUUUUUAAGAAAAUGUGGUUUGCAUCAUGUUCAAAAAUGAAAUAUAGAAAUACCUUAUAUUA